GCUCUAUAUUUCUUUCCAUUUUUUUCUCCAAAUUUGUCCUUCAAACGUAAUAGAAUUAAUUGAGUUAAAUGAAGUUGAUCCAAAGCAGCUUAUACCACACAUGAGAUAUGCUAACAUUUAGAUCUCACGUCAGCCAUAUAUCACUAGAGCAGAAAACUCGAAGUAUGAAAGAAAAACACAAAGAUCCUUCUGAUUUUGUGGGAAAGUGAGGUUGAGGGAAAUAACUAACAAUCACCUUUUGUUCUACAGAGAAGCAGUGAGAGCCGAGAGCUUCAGACACGUUAGAAAUAAUAUGAAGUAUUUGAAUCAAUUAUAUGUGGCAACAAAGAAUAAUUCUAUUUUCAUGGGUCAACCACUAAUUGCAGUAUAAUGUUCUCAGCACUUUCAUCUGUCGUGGCUGAGAAAUAUUAAUGGGACACUUAAGACCAAGGCUUCAGCACAACUAUUGGGUAAUUAGGGCAUGAAUCCCCACGCAUACUUAAUGGUACGAUAUAGGGCCAGGCUAACUGUAGAGUAGGGGUGGCUUCAGAAUGACAGUACAGAGGAACACCUCCUUGGUGUCUGUAACUUUAAGACAUCAGAUUAAAUUGAGUACGUUGAAAAGGAUUGUACUGAAAUAGCCCAGACUGUGUUUCUCUUCUAAUUAGUUUAUUUACAAAGUUUAAUUCAUCUAUUUUUCCAAAAAGACAUUUCUCUGGACUGCCCUACAAUUCUGUUAUAGUCUUUUAGUUACUGAAAUCCAGCUCAAAACAUAAGUUCAUUUUCCUUUUAAAAGGGAAUUUAUUGUGUCAAAUAAUGGAAAAGCCAGAAGCCAGCGUCCCAGGCAUGGUGGAUCCAGGUGCGUAAAUGGUGUCCUCAGGUAUCUGUUCCUACUCUCCUGUGUUCCCACCUGGUGAUGAAGGUGGUCAACAGGAGGUUCAGGCCUCACCUUACAAGUUUAGCAACCCUGCUAUAAAGAGCAAUAAGGCUCUUGUUAGCCUAGCUGUGGUUACAAUUGCGGCCCUAAACACAUCACCUGGUCAGGGGGAUGCUGUCCAUUGGCCAAGCUUAAGUCCCAGGCCCACCACUGAAGCCACACUUGGCAGAAUCUCUCAUCCAUCAAAUGGCAGAAGGUAGUUCUUUGAUGGAAACUGACUCCACAGCCUGGAAAAGGGGGGAUGAAUGUUGGGCAGACAGAAAUCACAACAGACAUCUUUUGUGAAAUUUUAAAUAACUUUUGGAAUAUUAAUUGCUACUCUGUCUAGCCUGACCAUUUCCAGGCUUGCUAAAGGAACUAGAGCAAGGCUGACUUGAGAUGCUGAUAGAAGCUUUGGUUCUGCAUUUGAGGGUAAAAGAAGGAGCAGUUUGAAGAGAAUGUGGAAUAUUGAGCUGUCCAUCUGUCUUUCUCUCUGAGGAUGCAAAGGCAGGAAUGAUUAGAUGUACAUUUACUGGUGGAUCACUGACUUUUUAAAACUCCUAUGAAAAAGCAACCUGUAAUUUUUUGAGAUUUUAGAAAUGAUUAAAUGAAUCUGCUCUAGUCAUCUACCCCAAUGGAAAAUACAACAGACACUUAUUUAAUCUAGCUUUACAUUUAAAAGGGUUAUAUGAUAGAAUAGGUUUCUUGGAAAAUGUGAAGAAUUCUGUUUCUAGAACUUUCUGUUUGGUCAAAGAAUGAGUAUUGUACAGUCACAAACACAUGGCCAGCCACCUGAGAAAAGGUGGCAUCAAGGUGAUACCAUGUCAU